CCCGGUGCAGGUUUGGCCUGAGGAAUCUCUCCAGCUGUUUAUCUCCUGCCAUUCCUUUUCUUGUUAGGCCUGGGAAGAAACUGAGUUUUCAGAGAAUUCUAUUGUUGCUGUAGAACACAAUUUGCUCUGCUGCAGAGCAAGCCAGGCAGAGUGAGCUGUGACUCUUUUCCUUCCUUGCUGGCUGCCUGUCUGGCAUCACUUUCCCUCAUAAGCUGGGUUCUUAAGUGGAGACAGUGCAUCCAAGGAGUGCAGGGGCAAGUGAGAGCUGAGGUUCCUGUGCUGACCACUGGCUGCCUGGAUGAUGCUGUUCCAGCUGCUUCACAACUCUGUGCCUCAGUUUCCCCUUCUUCAUGUCGGAAGCUGGGAUUCAGUCCUGCCCUGCAGACAGCUGACAGGGCUGACAUUCCAUGUCCUGGGACUGUGGUUACCAAGCCCUGGGGCUACACAGACCUGAUCUCCCUCCUGGAUUUCUCCAAGUGCCUGUCCAAGUGAUAGUUUUUUCUCCAGAAAUGAAGAACAGUUAAAAGCAGAGAACAAAACCCACCAUAAGACCAAAAGCAACAAUGGAGUAUUUUCCCUCCUGAAUGUUUGUUACAGCUCUUGCUGGCCAUGCAAAAAAAAAAAAAAANNNNNNNNNNNNNNNNNNNNAAAAAAAAAAAAAAAAAAAAAAAAAAAAAAAAAGCCCAAAUAAAAUCUGGCACACAGGUCA
rnacentral:lncRNA from 1 species